GUGGGAUAACGAAGUGCUGAUUAUAACAACUACCGAUUCUAUGUAAAGCGGACCCAUUUAAGAUAUUUUUUACUCAAUUAGCUGGACAUAUUAGUGUUUACUAGAUCUGAACAGCUGAAUUUAUUUUGAAAUGAGAGGUGUAUUAUUUGUGCUUGGUGCACUUCUUUGUGCAUCAGCAGUUUCAGCCUUUCCCAAACCUAGGAAGGAGGUUCCUCAACAGUGUGCUGACCCCACAUUUGCAUGUCAAGAUCUGGAAAAUGCUAGGUUGUGUGAUGUUGUAAAAUCAUGUGUUCAUGAUAUUUGGGCUACAAUGAGUGCCCCUGAUGAUAAUGAUGAAAUCUGUGAUAUCUGCAAAGAAAUGGUAAAAGAAGCCAGGGACCAACUACUUAGCAAUAUGACUCAGGAAGAAAUUAAAGAAGUAUUUGAAGGAAGUUGUAAAUUGUUACCAGUUAAGCUUGUUGCUGAUGCUUGCAUCAAAAUUGUUGAUGAAAUAAUCCCUGAACUUGUUGAAAUGUUAGCCUCACGCAUGGACCCUAAUAUGGUCUGCACAGUCUCUGGUUUAUGCAAUAUGGCUCACUUACCAGUAGAAAACCAUAUCUUGAAGUUCUUAAGGAUGGUACUUACACCUCAUAAAGACAGCCAGUGUGAUCAGUGCACUAAAAUGAUGACAGAUGUGAAGACAUUCUUGAAAUCAGAAACAGAGGCUGAUGUUGAAAAAUACAUUGAAAAGUUCUGUGAUAAGGAAGCUCCAUCUUACUUGUGUGAUAUCUUGGUUGACAAUUAUUUUCCUAAAAUCUAUUCAUACAUUGUGAGCAUUGAUGCAAAAACACUGUGUAACUCUGUUGGAAUUUGUGCACAAAAGUGUGAAUUGAUUGAAGACAAGCCUUCACAUCUCAAGGAUGAGUUAACUUGUGAAUUCUGUGAACAUGUACUCCAGCAUAUUAAAGAUCUGAUUACUGCGAAUACCACAGCGGAAGAAUUUAAAACAGCAUUAUUGAAUUUCUGCAAGCAUACUGGAAAGUUCUCUGACAAAUGUACAGCAUUGGUAAAUGAUUAUUACGACAUGCUUUUUGAUUACAUAAAGAAAUUGGACACCAAAGGAAUGUGCACUCUUAUGCAACUGUGUAACAAUGAAAAGUGCUCAAAAGUCUCUCUGGUUAAAGUUGUGCCUGCUAUUAAAUCAAGAAAACAAAUACCUUUAAUAAAACUUCAUCCUGUUGAAUCAAUAUCUAAAGGCAUUGAUGUAUAUCCACUUGUUAAACUUAUUCCUGCUGAUGUAUUAUCUAAAAAACAGUUGGUGGAAUCGAAUGAAAUUUUCCCACAUCAGUUGCCUUUGGAAAGGUUGACCCAUCCACUUUCUAUAUUUGAAAAGGAUACUGAAUGUGCAUUUUGUAAAGCAAUUUCAUUUUAUUUAGAACAAGAUCUGAAUGGAGACAGGAGCAAGGUCAAUGUUCGUGAAGCUCUCGAUGCAGUUUGUAAUAAAUGGGUGAAGGAUUUUCCUGAUCAUUGUCAAAACUUUUUGAAAACAUACUCAUUGAAAGUUCAGUAUGCUAUUGCUAAGGGAACUGAAUUUGGAGAUAUAUGCCAGUCUGUCAAAGCAUGUCCUAUUGAAACCCAUAAAGAAUUGAAUGUAAAAGUUAUUCCAAAACCUCAGGACAAUGCAUUUUGUGAUCUGUGCAAAGAUGCAAUGAUAGAAGUCGAAAAUCAGUUGAAUGAUCCUGCUACAAAGGAAAAAGUUGAAAAUUUCUUGGAUCAAGCCUGCAAUAUUUUACCCAAAUCCCUAAGAGAUGACUGUAACGAUUUCAUUAACCAAAAUGUCGAAGCUCUAAUCAGCAUUCUCCAACAAGAAUUAAAACCUGAUAAUAUUUGCCCUGCACUAGGACUUUGCCCACAGUUAGCAAGAAUUGGUGUUUCUGAAGAAGUGAAAGAUCUGGAAUGCGAUGUAUGCAAAGACGUGAUUUCAUCAUUUAAGCAAAAGUUGCAGCAACCUGGCUCUAAGACAAUGGUUCUUACUUUCUUGGAGGAAGGAUGUGCUCGAUUACCUAGCUCACUUGCUGAAGAAUGCAAAACAUUUGUGGAUGAAAAUAUUGAUACAGUUAUGAAUAUUAUCAUUCAAGAGCUAGAUCCUGAUUUAGUUUGUGGAAUGCUGAAAAUUUGCCCAGGCUCACUAAAGAAAGAAAAACCUACAAAGUUCAAAAAUUUAGAAUGUGACCUAUGCAAAGAAGUAAUAGAGAAGGUUGAAGAUUUGAUAAAGGACAAGAAAACAGAAGAGGAGAUCAAGAAUGCUUUAGAUAAAGUAUGCUCUUAUUUGCCUUCUUCGAUUGCGACAAAGUGUGAAAAUUUUGUAAAUCAAUACACAGACCUACUAAUUACUUUACUGACUCAAGAAGUGGAUCCUGAAAUUAUCUGUGCUGCUCUGAAUGUGUGUCCAGCUAAAGUGGCUUUUACCAAGCAGGAUUCAAAAGCUAAAGAUGUGGAAUGUCAAGGUUGUCAAUAUGUUCUCCACUUUGUGCAAGAGCAGCUGAUGAAUUCUGAAACUCAGGAAGAAAUAAAAAAUGUUCUGAAGAAAAUGUGUGAUGCCUUGCCUGAAAAAUUGUCUGCUAACUGUGAAGCAUUUGUAGAAGAAUAUGGUGAUGCUCUUUUAGUAUUAAUUGCACAAGAAAUAGACCCAAGUACCCUAUGUUAUGAAGUGAAAUUAUGUGACAAUCAGACAAAAAUUUUUGAUAAAUUACCCUUAGCUCCUUUGAAUUCUUUCAAAAUGGAUGAAUGUUCAAUUUGCACCACAGUCGUCGAUUAUUUAGACAAACUUCUUGAAGAAGAUGAUGUGGAUAAGGAAAUCACAAAAAUUGUAGAAAAAAUAUGUACAGUUGUCCCAGCCUCUUAUAAAGAUAAGUGUUCUACUUUGCUUGAAACUUAUGGUCCAUACAUAUUACAGAUGAUUGGUCAGCUAGCUGAUAGUAGGCAAGUUUGCCAGAGUAGACAAAAGGUAGACUUUGAGGACCAUAGAUUCGGAAGCACUGGCCUUUUUAAGACAUUGACUUCUGCCCAACACCUGCUGGGCAUGUUCACCUAAUUGGCGGCAAUAAAUGUACUUUCGGACCAUCAUACUGGUGCCGUUCAACAGCUCAUGCAGCUGCUUGCAAGGCAGAGAAAUACUGCAAAACCAAAGCCUGGAAAAAUUGAAUCUUGUCUAUCAUCUGAGAGCUUUUUAAUAAUUAUUACUUUUUUUUUUUUUUUUACAUUUGGCUCUGUUAUUUCAGUGUCUGACUUAAAACUAUUAGUAUGGACAAAAGACCAACUUCAGCUGCAUCAUGACACUACUUUUGUUGGAUUUUAUUUUGUGCAUUAAGUUGUUAGAGCAGCUAUGAACUCUGAUGGGUUGUUAAUAUUUUUAAUGUGUUUUGUCUUCCUUUUUUUUUUUUAUUAGCAGCGCAUGUGAUGCACAUAUGUAUAUUAAUGCUAAAUCUUGAUGCCAUACUUUGUACCAUUUUGUUAAUUUUUUAAUGUAGUUUGAAUAAUAAAAUAUUUAAAAUAAAUCA